rnacentral:rRNA from 1 species
GACGAACGCUUGCGGCGUGCCUAAGAAAUGCAAGUCGAACGAGGUCCAGCCUUCGGGCGAAGACCUAGUGGCGAACGGUCGCGUAACACGUAAGCAACCUGCCCUAAAAUGGGGGAUAGCCCACCGAAAGGUGGAUUAAUACCGCAUGUGGACACUGGAUCGCAUGUUCCGGUGUCUGAAGCAGCAAUGCGUUUUAGGAUGGGCUUGCGGCCUAUCAGCUAGUUGGUGUGGGUAACGGCCUACCAAGGCGACGACGGGUAGCUGGUCUGAGAGGAUGGUCAGCCGGACUGGGACUGAGAUACGGCCCAGACUCCUACGGGAGGCUG